GGCUCAGGACGAACGCUGGCGGCGUGCCUAACACAUGCAAGUCGAGCGGGGCGACCGGAAGCGGUAGAGAUACCGAGGAAGGGCGCCUAGCGGCGAACGGGUGAGUAACGCGUGGGCAAUCUGCCCCCGGGGGCGGGAUAACAGACCGAAAGGCCUGCUAAUACCGCAUGAAGCCGUCAUAUCACAUGGUAAGACGGUAAAAGGGGAAACCCGCCUGGGGAGGAGCCCGCGUCCCAUUAGCUAGUUGGUGGUGUAAAGGACCACCAAGGCGAUGAUGGGUAGCCGGCCUGAGAGGGUGAACGGCCACAUUGGGACUGAGACACGGCCCAGACUCCUACGGGGGGCAGCAGUGAGGGAUUUUCGGCAAUGGGCGAAAGCCUGACCGAGCGACGCCGCGUGAGCGAAGAAGGCCUUCGGGUCGUAAAGCUCUGUCUAGGGGGAAGAGAACGGACGGUACCCCUGGAGGAAGCCACGGCUAACUACGUGCCAGCAGCCGCGGUAAUACGUAGGUGGCGAGCGUUGUCCGGAAUUACUGGGCGUAAAGGGCGCGCAGGCGGUUCGUUAAGUCCGGGGUGAAAUCCUUCGGCUCAACCGGAGGGGGACCCUGGAUACUGGCGGGCUUGAGUGUGGGAGAGGGAAGCGGAAUUCCACGUGUAACGGUGAAAUGUAUAGAUAUGUGGAGGAACACCGGUGGCGAAGGCGGCUUCCUGGACCGUAACUGACGCUGAGGCGCGAAAGCUGGGGGAGCGAACAGGAUUAGAUACCCUGGUAGUCCCAGCCGUAAACUAUGAACACUAGGUGUGGGGGGUAUCGACCCCUUCCGUGCCGCAGCUAACGCAAUAAGUGUUCCGCCUGGGGAGUACGGCCGCAAGGUUGAAACUCAAAGGAAUUGACGGGGGCCCGCACAAGCGGU
rnacentral:rRNA from 1 species